GACGAACGCUGGCGGCGUGCUUAACACAUGCAAGUCGAACGGAAAGGCCCUGCUUUUGUGGGGUGCUCGAGUGGCGAACGGGUGAGUAACACGUGAGUAACCUGCCCUUGACUUUGGGAUAACUUCAGGAAACUGGGGCUAAUACCGGAUAGGAGCUCCUGCUGCAUGGUGGGGGUUGGAAAGUUUCGGCGGUUGGGGAUGGACUCGCGGCUUAUCAGCUUGUUGGUGGGGUAGUGGCUUACCAAGGCUUUGACGGGUAGCCGGCCUGAGAGGGUGACCGGCCACAUUGGGACUGAGAUACGGCCCAGACUCCUACGGGAGGCCGCAGUGGGGAAUAUUGCACAAUGGGCGGAAGCCUGAUGCAGCAACGCCGCGUGCGGGAUGACGGCCUUCGGGUUGUAAACCGCUUUCGCCUGUUACGAAGCGUGAGUGACGGUAAUGGGUAAAGAAGCCCCGGCUCACUACGUG
rnacentral:rRNA from 1 species